UGAAAGAGAUUAAAGAUUUAUCGGUGAUGGAUGGGGAUGCGUCUGAUUAGCUUGUUGGCGGGGUAACGGCCCACCAAGGCUACGAUCAGUAGGGGUUCUGAGAGGAAGGUCCCCCACAUUGGAACUGAGACACGGUCCAAACUCCUACGGGAGGCAGCAGUGAGGAAUAUUGGUCAAUGGACGAGAGUCUGAACCAGCCAAGUAGCGUGCAGGAUGACGGCCCUAUGGGUUGUAAACUGCUUUUAUAAGGGAAUAAAGUGAGUCUCGUGAGGCUUUUUGCAUGUACCUUAUGAAUAAGGACCGGCUAAUUCCGUGCCAGCAGCCGCGGUAAUACGGAAGGUCCGGGCGUUAUCCGGAUUUAUUGGGUUUAAAGGGAGCGUAGGCCGGAGAUUAAGCGUGUUGUGAAAUGUAGACGCUCAACGUCUGCACUGCAGCGCGAACUGGUUUCCUUGAGUACGCACAAAGUGGGCGGAAUUCGUGGUGUAGCGGUGAAAUGCUUAGAUAUCACGAAGAACUCCGAUUGCGAAGGCAGCUCACUGGAGCGCAACUGACGCUGAAGCUCGAAAGUGCGGGUAUCGAACAGGAUUAGAUACCCUGGUAGUCCGCACGGUAAACGAUGGAUGCCCGCUGUUGGUCUGAAUAGGUCAGCGGCCAAGCGAAAGCAUUAAGCAUCCCACCUGGGGAGUACGUCGGCAACGGUGCAACUCAAAUGAAUUGACGGA
rnacentral:rRNA from 1 species